rnacentral:lncRNA from 1 species
CUUUGCCAUCAACCACAAAACACUUCAGACCUCAUCCAUCCCUACCGAAGUGGUUAGCUCCUUAUUUUCCUGCUCUGAGACCACCUCGUGGGGCAGGAGAGCCUGGAAGGUAUCAGCCACACUCAACAACUCCAUCCAUCAUGAUGUGAAGAAUUGCACCAGCUCCUGUCUCACUUCCUCCUCCUCGGCCUUCCGCUAUCCAUCAGCCCCCCGAUAGCUCCAAUCCUGUUCUGGUGUCUACGGAUGAUGGUAGCCUAAUAAAAAAAUCUCGUAUUCCGAUCUUCUUCCUGAAUCCAUUGAAUUCUGGACUUCUAUCUCAAUAAAGUCUCCUACUGCCUCAAGAGAGAGUGAUGCUCCAAGAGUCUGCUCCGAAGAUCGACCAACUCAUGAUCAUUCAGGCCCCCUUCCCGAUCUUCCUGCUCUUGCAGCUCCAUGAUGGUGGCCUUCACACCCUCUAGCUUCUUGAAUAUGUUCUCCACCUCAGUCCUGUUCCACCAUAGAAGCCGCCGCCUCAUCAGUUCAAGCCUUCUAGUCACUCGGUAUCGGGCGUUGCCUCUGACCGGUAGUCUCCAAACAUCCCUCACAAUCUCCUAAGAUCGAGGGUAAAAGAGCCAAAACUUCUUAAAACGAAAAGGACUUCGAUGAG